AUGAACGCUGGCGGCGUGCUUAACACAUGCAAGUCGAACGAUGAUGGGAGCUUGCUCCUGGAUUAGUGGCGAACGGGUGAGUAACACGUGAGUAACCUGCCCUUAACUCUGGGAUAAGCCUGGGAAACUGGGUCUAAUACCGGAUAUGACUCCUCAUCGCAUGGUGGGGGGUGGAAAGCUUUAUUGUGGUUUUGGAUGGACUCGCGGCCUAUCAGCUUGUUGGUGAGGUAAUGGCUUACCAAGGCGACGACGGGUAGCCGGCCUGAGAGGGUGACCGGCCACACUGGGACUGAGACACGGCCCAGACUCCUACGGGAGGCAGCAGUGGGGAAUAUUGCACAAUGGGCGCAAGCCUGAUGCAGCGACGCCGCGUGAGGGAUGACGGCCUUCGGGUUGUAAACCUCUUUCAGUAGGGAAGAAGCGAAAGUGACGGUACCUGCAGAAGAAGCGCCGGCUAACUACGU
rnacentral:rRNA from 1 species